rnacentral:rRNA from 1 species
UACGUAGGCAGCGAGCGUUGUUCGGAAUUACUGGGCGUAAAGAGUGUGUAGGCGGUGCCUUAAGUUCGGUGUGAAAUCUCCCGGCUCAACUGGGAGGGUGCGCCGGAAACUGGGGUGCUCGAACGUGGGAGAGGAAAGCGGAAUUCCUGGUGUAGCGGUGAAAUGCGUAGAUAUCAGGAGGAACACCUGUGGUGUAGACGGCUUUCUGGACCAUUGUUGACGCUGAGGCACGAAAGCGUGGGUAGCAAACAGG